rnacentral:rRNA from 1 species
GACGAACCGUGCGAACGUUGUUCGGAAUCACUGGGCUUAAAGGGCGCGUAGGCGGUUCAUCAAGUCAGGGGUGAAAUCUUUCGGCUUAACCGGAAAAGUGCUUCUGAUACUGAUGAUCUCGAGGGAGGUAGGGGUCUGCGGAACUUCUGGUGGAGCGGUGAAAUGCGUUGAUAUCAGAAGGAACGCCGGUGGCGAAAGCGGCGGACUGGAUCUCUUCUGACGCUGAGGCGCGAAAGCCAGGGGAGCAAACGGG